UGCCAGCAGCCGCGGUAAUACGGAGGGUCCGAGCGUUAAUCGGAAUUACUGGGCGUAAAGGGUACGUAGGCGGCUUAAUAAGUCAGAUGUGAAAUCCCCGGGCUUAACCUGGGAACUGCAUUUGAAACUGUUUGGCUGGAGUGAGUGAGUGGUUAGUGGAAUUCAAGGCGUAGCGGUGAAAUGCGUAGAGGUCUUGAGGAACAUCAGUGGCGAGGGCGACUAACUGGCACUACACUGACGCUGAGGUGCGAAAGUGUGGGGAGCAAACAGGAUUAGAUA
rnacentral:rRNA from 1 species